GCACGGUAGAUUAGCCGGUGGCUUCUUCUGCGAAGAUAACGAUCACAGAUUGCUGGGAUAUUAGCCAACAACCUUUCCUCCUCGCUGAAAGUGCUUUACAACCCGAAGGCCUUCUUCACACACGCGGCAUGGCUGCAUCAGGGUUUCCCCCAUUGUGCAAUAUUCCCCA
rnacentral:rRNA from 1 species